GUGACAGAAACGUGCGCCUAUCUUGUUAGCUUUAGAAUCUGCCCGUAUUGACUGGCGUAGAAAGUUUUCCAGAAAACAUUUCCUUUCUGAGGAGGCAGCCAGGUGUGAGUGAGCUCAGGUGGCAGUGGGUGCUUUGAAUUUGGCUUCCUCAAACAGCAAGUAAGUUUCCAGAAUGGGCAACAAGAUGUAAGGGAAACGAAAGUCGCUUCUGUUCAAAAUUACUUUGCCUGAAACUGCCAAUUUAAGGUAAUGAAGUAGUUUCCGGAAAGAAACUAAAGGAAGAGACUCGGGGAGAAAAAUCUGGAGGAAAGUCAAGCCUACAGGAAUGAGAAAGAAAAAUGUGAAGUCUGUGCAGACUAUUAUUUGUGGCAUGAAUCCUUAUUUCUGAGAGAGGGCAGCCUCCUGCAUUGCAGGUGGAUUCUUUACCAACUGUGCCACCAGGGAAGGCCCACAAGAACCCUAUAAGGUAGGUAUAAUUAUUGCUGUCAUUUUACAAAUUAGAAAACUGAAGCUGAAAGAAUUCAAGUAAUUUACCCAAGAAUUCUAUAGCAGUC